AGUCUUUAUAGGGGGAGAAUAAUUGACUCCAUUCAAGUGUUCGCUCCUGUUUCAAUCAACUAUGGCUGAAGAGUGAGGAGACAUUUGGAAUAAAUAUGGCUUCUGGGGGCCCAUUCCUAUGGAUCAGCAGCUGGCUUCUGGAGGCCCAUUCCUGUGAAUCGUCGAUCUCAUAGAAGAUAAUAUUGUUAGAAGGCUUACCUCAUUGAUGCUGAACAUCCUAAAAAGCUUCUGCUGCUUUGAGUCACUGAAAAAGACCAAGAAACAUGAAUUUAAAAAAAAAUUUCAAAUGUUAUAAAAU
rnacentral:lncRNA from 10 species